rnacentral:rRNA from 1 species
UACGUAGGGUGCAAGCGUUGUCCGGAAUUAUUGGGCGUAAAGGGCUCGUAGGCGGUCUGUCGCGUCGGCUGUGAAAACCCGGGGCUCAACCCCGGGCCUGCAGUCGAUACGGGCAGACUAGAGUGCGGUAGGGGAGACUGGAAUUCCUGGUGUAGCGGUGAAAUGCGCAGAUAUCAGGAGGAACACCGGUGGCGAAGGCGGGUCUCUGGGCCGAUACUGACGCUGAGGAGCGAAAGCGUGGGGAGCGAACAGG